GUCGAAUUGGCCUAGUGGUUAGGGCAUCUCCUUUACAUCAUACACAUGUAUUCGGAGAGGAUCGCAGGUUCGAUCCCUGCAUUCGACA